rnacentral:rRNA from 1 species
GAUGAACGCCGGCGGCGUGCCUAACACAUGCAAGUCGAACGGAACUUCUUCGACAGAAUUCUUCGGAAGGAAGUUGAUUAAGUUUAGUGGCGGACGGGUGAGUAACGCGUGAGUAACCUGCCUUUGAGAGGGGAAUAACUUCCCGAAAGGGAUGCUAAUACCGCAUGAUGCAUAGAAGUCGCAUGGCUUUUAUGCCAAAGAUUUAUCGCUCAAAGAUGGACUCGCGUCCGAUUAGCCAGUUGGCGGGGUAACGGCCCACCAAAGCGACGAUCGGUAGCCGGACUGAGAGGUUGAACGGCCACAUUGGGACUGAGACACGGCCCAGACUCCUACGGGAGGCAGCAGUGGGGGAUAUUGCGCAAUGGGGGAAACCCUGACGCAGCAACGCCGCGUGAAGGAUGAAGGUUUUCGGAUUGUAAACUUCUGUUGUUGAGGAAGAUAAAUGACGGUACUCAACAAGGAAGUGACGGCUAACUACGUGCCAGCAGCCGCGGU